ACAAAAAUAGUUUACACCAAGCCAUGGUCUUAACCUUUGUAUUGUUUCAGAUCCCCUGAAGUCAUUUUGGAUCUGCCCGUCGAUGAGGCAAUAGACAUGUGGUCUCUUGGCUGCAUUAUGGCUGAACUCUUCACUGGCUGGCCGCUCUAUCCUUCACAGACUGAAUAUGAUCAGAUUCGAUACAUUGUGGAGACCCAGGGACUCCCCCAUGAGGCCAUGCUGAACGCUGGUGCCAAAACCAUAUUCUAUUUUACCAAAGGGUCUGGUCCCAUGUGGCGUCUGAAGGUACGGCUUAUAAGUCUGUUGUAAAACUCACAUUUAAGUUAGUAGAUAGACUGUUGCUCUUCAGACAUGUGGAAUAAUAUUUGGGUCUCUUUGGUUUCUCCAGAAAAAACAUAAAUGCACUUCUGGGACUGGGGUUCAGUCCAAAGUCUUUCGUCAAGGCGGCAUUCGCAGCCUUCAUUCAUUGUUCAAUGUUAACAUGCCCAAACCAGACACUGCUGACUUUUUGUUAGAAAUGAUGGAUCGGGUAAUGUUCAUAAAUCUGCUGAAGAAGAUGCUCACCCUGGAUCCAAAGAAGAGGAUCAGCCCUCAACAAGUUCUUCAGCACUCGUUUAUCACAAUGAACCACAUCAUGCACUAUCCACUGUACAACGGGUUUGUUUCUUAAGAAUAUGCUGUUAUUGAAUGUGUGUUAAUGAAUGUGUCUGCUGUUAUCACUGUUUAUUAAUGUGUACUAUUGUGGCUCUGUACAGAAUCAGUAACAAUCAGCAGGCUGUCAAACAGGACUUCAGUCACAUCAAGAGUUCUGAUCACGUUGUUCAACUUUGCCCUUCUACUCGGCACCACAUGAGUGACAAAAUUGUCCAGAUCAGUGUGGAAAACGGCUCCACCCAGCGCAUCACUGCUGUUGACCAGACACAUGCAGUGGGACAUGAGAUCCAGACUCAGAACACGAAUCCAUCUAAACAUAGAACCGAGCAGAAUGAGCACAAAAAACCCAGAGGCACCAAAAGAUCAGCUAGCUCAAUGGACACCUAGAAUGUAGAGCUCCCUGAAUUAAACUGCAUUUGCUGCCAUGAAGUGAAAGAGGUGCCAUCUCUGAAUACGGACCCUUUUAAGAGUCCAGUCGACUGCUGAGAUAAAGCCCAGAGGCACAAAGAGAUCAGCCAGGUAAGACUGAGACACGCAUAUCUUAUAUCGUAACACUUUACCAGUAAUUAAAGUAAUUCAGGUCUAAUCAUAGUUUUUACAGUAACCAUUUUUUCAGCUAAUAAAUGCAUCUUUUCAUCAACA
rnacentral:lncRNA from 1 species